rnacentral:tRNA from 1 species
GUUUAUUAUAGUUUAAUAUAGAAUGGUAAUUUGUGGUGUUACGGGUGCAUUAUUCUUGCUUUAAACC